AGCGAACGCUGGCGGCAGGCCUAACACAUGCAAGUCGAACGAACCCUUCGGGGUUAGUGGCGGACGGGUGAGUAACACGUGGGAACGUACCCUUAGGUUCGGAAUAACUCAGGGAAACUUGAGCUAAUACCGAAUGUGCCCUUCGGGGGAAAGAUUUAUCGCCUUUGGAGCGGCCCGCGUCUGAUUAGCUAGUUGGUGAGGUAAAGGCUCACCAAGGCUACGAUCAGUAGCUGGUCUGAGAGGAUGGCCAGCCACACUGGGACUGAGACACGGCCCAGACUCCUACGGGAGGCAGCAGUGGGGAAUCUUGCGCAAUGGGCGAAAGCCUGACGCAGCGAUGCCGCGUGGAUGAUGAAGGUCUUAGGAUUGUAAAAUCCUUUCACCGGUGAAGAUAAUGACUGUAGCCGGAGAAGAAGCCCCGGCUAACUUCGAGCCAGCCGCCGCGGUAACAC
rnacentral:rRNA from 1 species